rnacentral:rRNA from 1 species
AGAGUUUGAUCAUGGCUCAGGAUGAACGCUAGCGGCAGGCUUAAUACAUGCAAGUUGAGGGGCAGCAUGAUAUACGUAAGUAUAUUGAUGGCGACCGGCGGACGGGUGAGUAAAAGGUAGGAGACCUACCUCAUACAGGGGGAUAGCAUAGAGAAAUCUGUGGUAAUACCCCAUGAGGUUAUAUGAAUAGAGGCAUAUAAUCAAAGUAUACGAGAGUAUGCGGUAUGAGAUGGGCCUACUGACCAUUAGCUAGUUGGUGAGGUAAGGGCUCACCAAGGCGAAGAUGGUUAGGGGUUUUGAGAGAGAGAUCCCCCACAUUGGAACUGAGAUACGGUCCAGACUCCUACGGGAGGCAGCAGUAGGGAAUAUUGGGCAAUGGGCGAAAGCCUGACCCAGCCAUGCCGCGUGAAGGAAGACGGCCUUAUGGGUUGUAAACUUCUUUACUAUACGAAUAGAGGUUAGUACGAGUUACUAAUAGGAAGGUAGUAUAGCAAAAAGCACCGGCUAACUCCGUGCCAGCAGCCGCGGUAAUACGGAGGGUGCAAGCGUUAUUCGGAAUUACUGGGUUUAAAGGGUGCGUAGGCGGUUAUAUAAGUUGUCAGUGAAAGGCUACGGCUCAACUGUAGUAGUGCUGGCGAUACUGUAUAGCUAAGAACAUGGGAGGGGUACCUGGAAUGUGUGGUGUAGCGGUGAAAUGCAUAGAUAUCACACAGAACACCGGAGGCGAAGGCGGGGUACUAGACCAUAGUUGACGCUGAGGCACGAAAGCGUGGGGAGCAAACAGGAUUAGAUACCCUGGUAGUCCACGCCCUAAACGAUGAUCACUAGAUAUUGGCGACAUACAGUCAGUGUCCAAGCGAAAGUGAUAAGUGAUCCACCUGGGGAAUACGGCCGCAAGGUUAAAACUCAAAUGAAUUGACGG